rnacentral:lncRNA from 1 species
GACAACCGGAUAUGACGUUAAGGACUGCCCUGUAGUGCCCGCGGUUGCCAGUCCUCUAUCCGACUUGAUCGUGCAGAGUUGGUUCGCACCGCCCAGUGAGGGGAAGCUGUUUUCUCGUCGAUUGAUAGGCUCCGGGUCUGGGUAGGAGAGGCUGCCCUGUAUGAGGUAGCUUGAAGGGCCGCUGACAGGAGGAAACGCUUCCGAAUUUUCCAGACGUGUUGACGUUUGAGGGUGCUGACUACACGUUAAGGAACUUUAUUGUCACGCCUUUGGGAAUAUACUGCCAGGCUCUUCCUAGAUAUAUUCAUUCUCUUUAAAAUGAGCAUGUCUACCUGGGUUCACCAGAAACUAAGUUUUUCUUAGCCUUUUGUGAGGCAACUGAAAAAUAAAUUGAACUGUAGGCCCUUUCUCUGCUUGUUUCUUAUUGAUGGCGACUGCUUAUGACCACUUUGGUGACAGACGAAUUAGAAGACAUGUCUUGGACAUUCAGUAAAUGUGGACCACAUACCAUGGAUAUUUACUCUGCUACAGCCAGUGGGCUGCCUCUGUUCCUUGAACGUGGCCAUUUCAUUCCCUUCUCAAGGCCUCUGCACUUAGCUAUUCUUUCAGCGUGGAGACCUAAUGGCUGCUUCCUUUGACUUCCCGCCCCCAGUUCUCAAGCCAUGUGUCAUCUCUUUGGAAAGAUUCCUAAUCACCUUCCAGAAAAUGAAAAUUACAUGCUGAAAAUCUAUUUUGAGUUUAACAACUUUGGUUAAGAUUUUAUGUUCUAAUACUUAGAACUGACAAAGAUCUAAUUUUAUGUUGAUUUUGGAGAGAGCAUUUUCCCCAGAAAAGUUCAUAAUAGGACAAGACAACAUCCUUCACCUCAUUUGGGAUUUGUGCAGCACAAUCAUAAAGGAUCAU